ACCGACUGAGCCACCCGGGCGCCCCACUAAGGGACUGAGCAGAGAUCAUGGCACUGAAACGGCACAGGAGUAGCGAUCAGUACCUCUUCUUGAGAACAAGACCAUUAAGUGUUGCUGUUGAGAAACUUCCAGAGUCCCUCCAGUUCUGUCACAGGACUGAUUACAUGGCUGCUCAGUGUGUUUGCUCCUUACAACAUGAUGGAGUACAUGAUAUCCAUGUUUCAUCUGUAUUCGUAUUUAUUAUUUGUCUUUAAUGUCACAUUUCCCCACAGUCUAGCAGGUGGGUAUGUUUUUCUAACACACAAAGAUAUAUAUAUGUUUAGUCACCUAUCAUUUGAAUACCACCAGUGAUAGGUUAUAUAUACAUUUUGGUAAACACUAACUUAUAUAUGUGGAAAUAACUGACGGGAGAUCAAAAAGAGAAUGCGUCUGGCCGUGGGCCCGAGGGCUGGGGAGCACAUCACCUCUACGCUCCGUGACUCGCUACCACACUACGAGCUGCUACACGGCCUGGCAGAACAGCAGGCACAAAGCAACUGCUCAGAUUACAUCUCUAUCUCAUACCUUUUCCUAAUGAUUUUAUAGUUUCCGCCACAUGCUCAUGUUGCUCAAAACUGACAUUCCUGGAUAUGAAUUCGUUCACAAGGUUGGAGGAAAAAAAGACAGUCACUCACUGCAAAAUGAAAACUUUCAAUGUUUUAUUUUUGACUGCAGCUGUUUACAGAAAUAUAGUUGCGAGUAUACAAAUGUUCCAAUAGAAGCAAAAUAUCUUUUUAAUAUUUAACAAGUUAUCACAGAUAGCUAAAAACAUAGAUGCAAAUGAAAUUCCCCCAGAGAACAAACUGAAAAUACCUGGUGUCAGUGCUCUGAAUCUCAACUAUGAAAGCCAUAUACACAAAAAUGUAAUCCUUAUGUCAUUGCAGGACAAUGGAAGAAGGCGGUUCAGUGGUUGAUCAGUGUGCUCAAGCAAAUAAAAUUAAAUGAAAAAAUUUUAAUGGCAGAAUGGUAGCCAUUCUGAGAAGAGGUUAAUGAAAUAUAUGCAGUAUUUAAAUUAAGACUAAUUAAGAAGUGAAUAAACACAGUAAAAGCUGUCUAAAAAAAGCAACUACUUGGAGCUUAUCAAUUAGAAGGGAACAAGGUGAGCAGAUACAUUCAUUAGCUCAUAAGAAAUUAACUCAACGUCACUGGAAUCCAUUUGUAGCUACUAAAGUCAUAAAUACUUCAGUGUAGGGCAGCUCUUUAUUGGACUCAUUAGUCUGAUCCCAAAGCCACUCUCAACAUCCGAGAUGGUGUGUGCACGUAUGUCUGUGUGUGUCGUCCUGAGGUUUGUUAGGUAAAAUAAUAAGCAACCCCUAUUUCAAACCAAAUUUCUUCUGGAAAAGAAAAAGAACAGGGAUAAUAGGGUUCAACAUGGGGCUUUUAAAAGAGUUACUACAAAUUGGAGUCAAAUAGCAUUGUGGUAGGAUUCUCUGGAUACAGGAAUAUAUUCUGCAAUAAAGUGGGGGCGGGGGGUAGCGGAGGAGGGAUGUACCUAGAGCGUCUCCCCGGUUUGCCUCUGUGUUGCCAGCACCGAAGUUUGUAGAGUAAGCCACUUGCACUUCCACUGCAAGACAGCAGUGGUGAUUUUUAUAAAGUGAAUAUACAAUUAUUUUUAAUUUGAAUGUGCAUUUCUCUUCCAUGAGUUAAUUAAUUGGUGAUUUGUAAACAGCGGAAGGAAGAUUACAGCAAUUACAGAGGUACUGAAUUACACAUAGAGAUUAAAAUGAACGAAUAAAUCUACUUAUCUUGUUAGUUUAUAUUUACCAUGAGGCAUAUAAUUGAGAAGGGAGAAAUGCCCAGAUUUAUAAUGCACAGUCUUGUCCCAUAUUUAUUUUAGUAAAUAAUGCGCGUCUGAAGCCUAAGUUCCGAGGAGAGCUCUAUCUCUAUACUGCAUCAGUCUGCAUACAAGCCAGGCUUCUUUUAAAUGCUUUAUUGAUUUAAAAAAGAAAUUAAAUAAGGUGCUAUGUUGACCUGGCCAGCCAUCUUAUUUAAUAUCUCAGAUACAAAUAUAAAUACAAGGAAUGAUGUUCCGAGAGUUGGUCUAGCCAGACCAAAAUCGUGGUCUGCUGGUAAAAUAAGAGGCAAUGAAAGGAAAGCUUGUGUUAUCACUGCCCACAGGUACCCAUUGUAUGGAUAAACAGGAGACUUUAGCACCCGUCAAUUGUUUUAGCUACUUAAAUGUCAUAACAAUUAAAAGAAAUAUAGAAGAUUGCACCUAUAUAUUUAAAUCAGUCAUUUAAUGUAAACUUUUUAGUAAAUGGUAGGAAAAUGCCAAACUAAGUUAACUGAAUUAUCAACAACUAGACUAAGGGUAAAUGUAUAUAAAAUAUACUAUUAUUUCUAUAGACAGUACUAAAAAUAAAUUAUCAUUGCCAGUAAAUGAUUAUGGAUAACCAGGUUAAGCUGAAUUUACAUAAAGAACAAUAUAUAACUAUUUGUGUGAGUACGGGGGAAAGCCUUUCUAGAUCUUACUGUGUAUCAUUUACACCAGUGAUUUUUCAAACUUGAGCAUACAUCAGAAUUACCUGAAGGACUUGUUAAAACACAGAUUGCUAGGCCCCAUUCCAAAGUUUGUGAUUCAGUAUGUCUAUGCUAGGGCUCAAGAAUGUGCAUUUCUACCUAGUUCCCAAGUGACUCUGAUGCUGGUUGGCGGGCUGAGGACCAUAUUUUGAAAACCACUGGUUACAUUCUAUAUGUAGAAAACUAUAUAGUACAAUGUUCUUCUACACAUGACACAAAAUAUACUGGAAGAGGAGUGGUUUUAAUUAAGUCUCACAUAGAGAUUAGCAAGUUGAACGUUUUAAUAUUUGUAAAAUGAUUUGCUGAAGUGUAAUCAUUUCUCCAUAUAGUCAAUUACAUUUCAAAGUCUCAAAUCCUAGUAUACAGUCAUUUUAGAAAAUAUUCACGCAACACUUACACCAAGCUGACUAUCCAAAAUAAAAAGGGACAUAAAUAGUUUAGAUGUAUUCGUUAAGAAGGAAUCAUCACUAUACUGCAUUCUUGACUUCUUUGGAAUGAUUAAAGUGCAUAAUAUCAUUAGGGUAUGAAGAAUAUUGCAUAAAGGUCUGCAGUUUUCAGUGCCACCAAGUCAAAGAAAGACCGAGCGGGGAAAGCAGCUCUAUCCCAAAACUACAGCUCCGACGCCUUCUCUUUCGGCACCAGCACGGCAGCGAGGAGCCGGAGCAGAGGCAAAACGGAAAUCGGAGGGACACUCAAGCCAACUGUAUCUUGUUGAAAUUCGGAAUUAUUACUUUUGUUCCAGAGGGGUUCCAAUGUAACUUCAUUUUCCUUGACACUAUUUUUCAUAGAGAUUACAAAGGUUCUGACACACAGAAGUACAUGGCCUUGUCUAGUUACAAAAACUGACUUCACCAGGUUUUACCUAAAUUUUGUUAGUGAUUUAUUUUCAUCUAAGUAAGAUCAGAGAAGGUGUUUGAAACACUUCCUUUCUGAAAUUUAAUUACAAACGUGUGCAUGGAGUCUCACAGAUAAUAAAAUUUUCAUUAACAUUCA